AUUGAACGCUGGCGGCAGGCCUAACACAUGCAAGUCGCACGAGUGGCGGACGGGUGAGUAAUGUCUGGGAAACUGCCUGAUGGAGGGGGAUAACUACUGGAAACGGUAGCUAAUACCGCAUACCAUCGGAUGUGCCCAGAUGGUAUUAGCUAGUAGGGGGGGUAACGGCUCACCUAGGCGACGAUCCCUAGCUGGUCUGAGAGGAUGACCAGCCACACUGGAACUGAGACACGGUACAGAUUCAGACGGGAGGCAGCAGUGGGGAAUAUUGCACAAUGGGCGAAAGCCUGAUGCAGCCAUGCGGCGUGGAUGAAGAAGGCCGUCGGGUUGUAAAGUACUGUCAGCGGGGAGGCGUUACCAGCAGAAGAAGCACCGGCUAACUCCGUGCCAGCAGCCGAGGUAAUAC
rnacentral:rRNA from 1 species